CAAUGUGGACAGGAUUUUGGGUCAGCCAAAAAAAAAAAGGAUGAAUUGAAAUCCCGCACGAUCCUCCAUUCAAAACUCGCGCCCUCUAGAUCAUCAAGCAAGAAGCAACAGUGUUCAAUGUGAUAGUGGUGAGCGGUGUAGCGUGGAUGUGCGCGUCCAUCAAUCUUUCGCAGCUACGCCUUUCCGUGAGGCGGCUGGAGCAGGAAAUCGCCGAGCCGUGCUGCAGAGAGGAAAGGAUGGCAGGUGGUGCCGCGGUGAACACUCCCAACACAUGCAGGAGGAAAGAAAGGAUGGCAGGUGGUGCCGCGGUGAACACUCCCAACACAUGCAGGAGGAAAGUGAGUACCUGCUUCAUUACAUCAUGUGCCCUCUAUUUUGGAUUUUUUUUUUUUUUCAUUUCAACUGAAACCUGUUGCCUGCCUUUCUCCUGUCAGCUUCCCACGAAUCUGUGAAGGAAAGAAAGGAUGUGCUUCCAUGGUAUCGUG